GAUGAACGCUGGCGGCGUGCCUAAUACAUGCAAGUCGAGCGAACGGACGAGAAGCUUGCCUUUCUGAUGUUAGCGGCGGACGGGUGAGUAACACGUGGAUAACCUACCUAUAAGACUGGGAUAACUUCGGGAAACCGGAGCUAAUACCGGAUAAUAUUUUGAACCGCAUGGUUCAAAAGUGAAAGACGGUCUUGCUGACACUAAUAGAUGGAUCCGAGCUGCAUUAGCUAGUUGGUAAGGUAACGGCUUACCAAGGCAACGAUGCAUAGCCGACCUGAGAGGGUGAUCGGCCACACUGGAACUGAGACACGGUCCAGACUCCUACGGGAGGCAGCAGUAGGGAAUCUUCCGCAAUGGGCGAAAGCCUGACGGAGCAACGCCGCGUGAGUGAUGAAGGUCUUCGGAUCGUAAAACUCUUUUAUUAGGGAAGAACAUAUGUGUAAGUAUCUGUGCACAUCUUGACGGUACCUAAUCAGAAAGCCACGGCUAACUACGUG
rnacentral:rRNA from 1 species